GUUUUGUUAAACACUGACCAAAUAAAAUUGAUCGAACGUAAAAGGUGUAGUUCAAUACAUAGCUAAAGUGAGUGACAAUAAAAAAGUUAUUGAUCGAAUUAAACAAAGACGGACUGGAUCAGUUCGGUGCACUGAACCUCGACACAUAAGAAAACUAGUUGUAUCAAACCGUUAUCGAUCUCCUGCUCUAUAUUCAAUCAGCCGUAUCAAGCCCUUAAUCCAAACCAGCUUAACCCAUUAUUGUUUUCAGAAGAAUAUCCUCACUGUGCGCACUUCUAAAUUGGAAAUCCAUCGACCAUCGGACUUUCAGGGGAAUUCUGUUUAGUCGAUUUGGAAUUUCUAGAUCCCUAUCAGAAACUCAAAAAAAAAAAUUUGACAUAAGCAAUAUCAAUCUUUCAAUUAAAGUACAAUUGGAUGACACAUUUAGCAUGUAUUAUGUAUUAAACUACAACUGAAGAUUUCAAUUACAUAAUGAUAAGCAUUUUUUUUGUUUUGGUGAUUAGUUUUAUUGCUAUAUCAUUGACAAGGAAGGGUCCGAUAAGGUUCAAAGACUAGGCGACUAAUCUGGACCCUAGGUCGGAGGUGGUCCAAUAAGGGCCUAGGCCCAAGAAAAAUAGUAUAAAUAAAUGGAAGAUACAUGGUUGAAGCUUGCAGCAAGAGUUUUGCCAAAUUAACUAAGGGAUUGGAUUACUCCAGUAUAAUCAAUCCAUCAUUAUUCUGUAAUCUGUAAUGAUGUAGGUUGGAAGUGUUGGGCAAAGUGUUCUGAUAUAUAUCUUAUCAAUGGGAUCCAUACUUUCAUUUCAGAUCUACCCAUUUUAUGUGCUCUCUAUACUCUCUAUCUCGAAGAACCCCCAAUAUUAGAAAUAAGAAACAAGUUGGGAACAAAUUCGCAAAAUCGCGGUCCAACGACACAUUACAUUAGUCAUGGAAGAUGGGUUUAGAAAGAACCUGCACCCAACCAGGUUUUUCUUUCUUUCUUUCUUUCCUUGUUUUUCUGUUUCCCAGUUUUCCCUGUACAACUUUAUUAGCAAUAUUAAUUUGGGGAUACUCGAUCUCUAUCUCUUUCUAUAGUCACUGAUAUUGAUGAUUAUUGAUGAUUUUAUUCAACUUCUAAAUGAUCUAGAAAUGAAUUUGAAAAAAAACUUGUCUAAUUUUUGUCAGUUUUAGAUUUGAUUCCAACUCAAGUAAGAAGAGAAAGCUAGCAAUCAAUGAGGUCGAGACAUUACAGCAACAAGGUAAUACAAAAUACAGAAUCCGACGUAAUCGGUCUCACAAUUCUGAAUCCGACGAUGUGGAAGACGAAGAACACUCAGUGUCGAAUGAGUC
rnacentral:lncRNA from 1 species